GUGUAGCCCGUCAGACAGGCACUCUGCUCCUCUAUAAAGAGCGCGGGUUUAUCCACGCCCUACGACAUGAAUGAAAUGAGUUUUCAGGGCUGCCAACUCUCUGGUUAGGGUUCUGCAGUAGUAUGUUUCUUUUACAAUA
ensembl:snoRNA